rnacentral:rRNA from 1 species
CCUACGGGAGGCAGCAGUCGAGAAUCAUUCACAAUGGGGGAAACCCUGAUGGUGCGACGCCGCGUGGGGGAAUGAAGGUCUUCGGAUUGUAAACCCCUGUCAUGUGGGAGCAAAUUAAAAAGAUAGUACCACAAGAGGAAGAGACGGCUAACUCUGUGCCAGCAGCCGCGUUAAUACAGAGGUCUCAAGCGUUGUUCGGAAUCACUGGGCGUAAGGCGUGCGUAGGCUGUUUCGUAACUCGUCUGUGAAAGGCGCGGGCUCAACCCGCGGACGGCACAUGAUACUGCGAGACUAGAGUAAUGGAGGGGGAACCGGAAUUCUCGGUGUAGCAGUGAAAUGCGUAGAUAUCGAGAGGAACACUCGUGGCGAAGGCGGGUUACUGGACAUUAACUGACGCUGAGGCACGAAGGCCAGGGGAGCGAAAGGGAUUAGAUACCCUGGUAGUC